rnacentral:ncRNA from 1 species
GCAGAGUAAGAGCCUGCGCGUUGGCCGUUUUCCUUCAGGAGAUGUAUCGGCCUCCAGUGCCAUGGAAACGGGGAGUUGUUCUGUGGACGAAAUGGGUGAUCCUGCGGUGUAGGCUCUGCAUCCCGCUGC